UUGUGAGGACUUAUGACUGCGACAUUCUUCUGAUCCUGUGGCUAUAUCACUGUAUUCGCUGCUGGACGAAGCGGAGUGGUGAAGUUGCCAGGAAGCGCAAAAAAAAAGUCUCUACAUGAACCCUUCCCGUCAUGGCUGGGGCAUCCACCGUGGCCGAAGACAUCCCGGGCGUACCAUGGGGUCAUUGUGACGAGCACGAGUGCGACGAGUUCCGGCUCACUGUGGAGCUUAUGAGCCACGAACGAGUGCCGCUUGGGUGGUGCAUAUUAUGAGGACAUUCACCAGUAGCGCAUGGAUCAUUUACAGGCACAAGAGCUUGGCAACAGGUCUCCAGGCCCAUGCAUUUUGAAAGAGAAUGACAACUUCAAAAGUGCCUGCAAGGAAGACAUCCUGGCUUUACCAGCUGCAUCAUCACCUGAGAAGCAGUCAGCCUCCUGUUGACUGUAUAUUUUAUUUUAAGCUUGUCGUACCCGUACGCUUUUUGGACAGUUUUUGGGACUUGUGCAGACAGUUGUUGUGAAGGGUGAGCCAUUUGACAGUGGCUUGAUGUCGUUUAAAGUAGUCUCUGUUGAAAAACCUGAAGCAGUCAGACCUAAUAUUCACAUGCUAAAUAUUUGGUAGGUAGAAGCGACAUGUCAGCUGCAAAACUGUGAAGUUGUGCCUUCUUUUACGAUUUUUUAUCACCAGGGCAAAGCGCCGGCUGUACGUUUCAAGGCUGGCUUCUUUUUUUUUUUAAAGGAUAUUUCGCUUGUAUUUUUCAAGGCUGUGUUGUUUAGUUAUUUCAAAUUUUUUCACUUGUUUUCCAGAAUGUCUUACCAUUGUAUUUCGCUGCUGCCUUGUUGAAUCUUUAAAAUGUGUAACAUGCUUCCAGCUAUUUCGUGCAUAAAAUUUUAUAAACAUUUCCACUAACUUUUAUGGUAAUAUUUGGGAUGAGUUAUCCCAAACUACAUAAUGCUGGCGCAAGUAAUCUGCCUCAAGUGGAAGGCUUUUUCAGGGUGCUUAUAAAGUAUUUUGGUCACAAUUAGCUUUGUAUUAUAGGUACAUCUGUGGUCAGCCAACUGUAUUGUUUCUAGUGUUCAUAUUUUUUUUAUGAUAUUUGGCACGUGUUUCUGACAAGUUUUUUGUGUGCAAACAUUACAUACCAUUCCAAAUAAACAUUCCAGUUUA